CCCAAAAGCACAUGAUCAAUGCCCAAAACAUAUUAAUUGACAGAUACACCCACAUACACCUAGAACGCAGCUCUGAAUGCCAUGUGUUGAGAUGAGCAUGUAACACCGAGCUCUCUCUGUCUCUGGCUGCAAAAUGAGCUCAGCCUCUCUGCACAUGUGAUAGCACUGGCAACCACCACUAGGUAAUGCAGCCACUGGGCAUGUUUCCUCUUAUCGCCAUCUCCUCUGCUGUGGGGCACAGAAUGCAGUAACAAUGUCACUGCACAUUAUCAGUAACCCCUUCACUGCAGACCAUCAAAUAACCCUUCACUGCACACCACUAGUAACCCCUUCACUGCAUACCACCAAGUAACCCUCUCACUGUAUAGGACCCCUUCACA